rnacentral:rRNA from 1 species
UGUAGAGGAUGCUUUUGGCAAGGCGCCGUCCGAGUUCCCUGGAACGGGACGCCAGAGAGGGUGAGAGCCCCGUACAGGCGGACGCCGAGCCUCUGUAAAGCUCCUUCGACGAGUCGAGUAGUUUGGGAAUGCUGCUCAAAGCGGGAGGUAAAUUUCUUCUAAAGCUAAAUAUAGGCCAGAGACCGAUAGCGCACAAGUAGAGUGAUCGAAAGAUGAAAAGCACUUUGAAAAGAGGGUUAAAAAGCACGUGAAAUUGUUGAAAGGGAAGCGCCUGUGACCAGACUCGCGCCCGACGGAUCACCCGGCGUUCUCGCCGGUGCACUCCGCCGGGCUCGGGCCAGCAUCGGCUGUGGCGGGGGGAGAAAGGCGGCGGGGACGUGGCUCCCCCGGGAGUGUUAUAGCCCGCCGCUCAAUGCCCCCGCCGCGGCCGAGGACCGCGC